rnacentral:rRNA from 1 species
UACGUAGGGGGCAAGCGUUGUCCGGAUUUAUUGGGCGUAAAGAGCGUGUAGGCGGCCAGACAGGUCAGCUGUGAAAACUCGAGGCUCAACCUCGAGACGUCGGUUGAAACCGUCUGGCUAGAGUCCGGAAGAGGAGAGUGGAAUUCCCGGUGUAGCGGUGAAAUGCGCAGAUAUCGGGAAGAACACCCGUGGCGAAGGCGGCUCUCUAGUACGGUACUGACGCUGAGACGCGAAAGCGUGGGGAGCGAACAGG